AGUGAACGCUGGCGGUAGGCCUAACACAUGCAAGUCGAACGGCAGCACAGUAAGAGCUUGCUCUUACGGGUGGCGAGUGGCGGACGGGUGAGGAAUACAUCGGAAUCUACUUUUUCGUGGGGGAUAACGUAGGGAAACUUACGCUAAUACCGCAUACGACCUACGGGUGAAAGCAGGGGAUCUUCGGACCUUGCGCGAUUGAAUGAGCCGAUGUCGGAUUAGCUAGUUGGCGGGGUAAAGGCCCACCAAGGCGACGAUCCGUAGCUGGUCUGAGAGGAUGAACAGCCACACUGGAACUGAGACACGGUCCAGACUCCUACGGGAGGCAGCAGGGGGGAAUAUUGGACAAUGGGCGCAAGCCUGAUCCAGCCAUACCGCGUGGGUGAAGAAGGCCUUCGGGUUGUAAAGCCCUUUUGUUGGGAAAGAAAAGCAGCAGGUUAAGACCCCGCUGUUCUGACGGUACCCAAAGAAUAAGCACCGGCUAACUUCGU
rnacentral:rRNA from 1 species